UACAUGGGGUGCAAACGUUGCUCGGAAUCAUUGGGCGUAAAGCGCGCGUAGGCGGUUACUUAAGUCGAAUGUGAAAGCCCUCGGCUUAACCGAGGAAGUGCAUCCGAAACUGUGUAGCUAGAGUACGAAAGAGGGUCGCGGAAUUCCCGGUGUAGAGGUGAAAUUCGUAGAUAUCGGGAGGAACACCGGUGGCGAAGGCGGCGACCUGGGUAGAUACUGACGCUGAGGCGCGAAAGCGUGGGGAGCAAACAGG
rnacentral:rRNA from 1 species